UUUAAACGUUAAAAGUUUUGUGCAAUAUUAUCUUAGUAUACUGUUAGAUGUUAUUUACUUUUGGUUUGCUUCUUGUAAUGUGUGACAUCUUCCUGUAAAACUGAAAUCGACCGUUAUCAACUGACAUAAACAUUGAAACUCACUCCGACACAUUACCCUAAUUAGAAUACAAGGAAGUCCAAGAUCUAUUUUUCAACAAAACCAUUUUUAUCACACUUUCUGGUCACGAAGCUCUUGUUCUAUUGGUUUGUCUGAAGUCGGCGCAAGAAGAAGAAAGGCACACAGGAAAAUUGGUGACCUAAAAGACUUAAGAAUGAAGGCCGCUAGGGAUUGUGGGCAGAAACUUUAACUACUUCUAUAGUAUGUUAGACUUACCUYGUUGGAGCUGCACUUCCAGUGGAUCACUUGCCAGAGAACCAUAACCAUUAACAGACACCACCCUCAUCAGGUAUUUCUUGCCCGCGUCUAGACUAUUUACUUUCACUUUUGUUACGUUGGAGUUCAGRAUUACAGAAUUGUAAUACUUCAUGUUUGUGCCUGCUUUUAUGUACUGUAAAGCAUAGCUAGUGAUUCUGUAUAACUCAUUGUACARGGGGGCUGACCAAUGGAGAAUCACUGACGUCCCUUCUAUGUCACUAGUACUUAAAGAAGCUGGCGGAGGAGGAGAAGCUAGAAAAGAAGGAUUUUCGUUAUCGACUGGGAGAAUUCUGAUUGUUAGUAAAUUUUUAUCAGCUUAUAGCUUAA